rnacentral:tRNA from 1 species
GCCGGGGUGGCGGAAUUGGUAGACGCAAGGGACUUAAAAUCCCUCGAGGGAAACCUCGUGCCGGUUCGAUUCCGGCCCUCGGCA